UGGGGAAUAUUGCACAAUGGGCGCAAGCCUGAUGCAGCCAUGCCGCGUGUAUGAAGAAGGCCUUCGGGUUGUAAAGUACUUUCAGCGGGGAGGAAGGCGAUGCGGUUAAUAACCGCGUCGAUUGACGUUACCCGCAGAAGAAGCACCGGCUAACUCCGUGCCAGCAGCCGCGGUAAUACGGAGGGUGCAAGCGUUAAUAGGAAUUACUGGGCGUAAAGCGCACGCAGGCGGUCUGUCAAGUCGGAUGUGAAAUCCCCGGGCUCAACCUGGGAACUGCAUCCGAAACUGGCAGGCUUGAGUCUCGUAGAGGGGGGUAGAAUUCCAGGUGUAGCGGUGAAAUGCGUAGAGAUCUGGAGGAAUACCGGUGGCGAAGGCGGCCUCCUGGACGAAGACUGACGCUCAGGUGCGAAAGCGUGGGGAGCAAACA
rnacentral:rRNA from 1 species